CGGAGGGGGCUAGCGUUGUUCGGAAUUACUGGGCGUAAAGCGCACGUAGGCGGACCGGAAAGUCAGAGGUGAAAUCCCAGGGCUCAACCUUGGAACUGCCUUUGAAACUAUCGGUCUGGAGUUCGAGAGAGGUGAGUGGAAUUCCGAGUGUAGAGGUGAAAUUCGUAGAUAUUCGGAGGAACACCAGUGGCGAAGGCGGCUCACUGGCUCGAUACUGACGCUGAGGUGCGAAAGCGUGGGGAGCAAACAGGAUU
rnacentral:rRNA from 1 species